rnacentral:tRNA from 1 species
GGUUAUAGCUCAGUGGUAGAGUACUUGCCUCACACAUAUAAGGCACUGGGUUCGAUCCUCAGCACCA